rnacentral:lncRNA from 1 species
UACAGGUGCAACCACUCCACUAUAAUCACCUUCAUCACCUCACUUUUUGUUCGGCUAUAUAUGCUUGCAUCUUCUUCAAUAACGGAACUCAACCCUGCUCUUAUCCUUUUGCAAUAUCCACGCUCCCUUUACCAAACUCAAACAUGUCUGAUCAAAAUCAUCUUCCAAGUAAGCUUCCUCUUUAGCUGCUAAAUUUUCAUUGCAGCUAGUCAAUGCAUAUCCAGUGGUACUUAAUAUCAUCGGUUGUGAUUAUGAUUCUUUUGUUCUCCUGAUAAUUUCCAGAACACACUUCGGUUCCCGCGAAUUCGUACACAGGUCCACCGGUAGUUCCUGUGAAUCCCAUGUCCAUGAAGGACGCUCAAGGUCAAGGAGAACUCAAAGGUGGUGCUCAUCCUGGAGAUCAAACUAAGUCCAGAGGAGAUGGGUUUUGCAGGGGAUUGUAUAAAUCUCUCUCUCUCUCUCUCUCUCUCUCUCUCUGUGUAAAUUAAAGAGAUGAAUAACAUCAUGUGCCUUCUUUUUUGCAGUUGUGCUGGGUUGUGUUGCUACUGUUGCUUGGACAUCUGCUUUUAGCUCGGAGCUGAGGAAGAGAAUAUCGAUUUGGUUUUUCGUCGCAGGAUGUGCAGAAAAGGCUUUUGCCUUUCAUGUAUACGCUGUUUACUGUCUUGCUGUGACAUGUAAAUUUGAAUCAUAGAACUUUCUAUUGCCGACGAAUUAGAAUUAUAUCUUUGCUCCCUGUUAAUUGAUGAAUUUAGCCAGCCAUAUCACGCAGAGGACUAAAUUUCCGACCCAUGUGAGAGCGAAC